GCCUUGGUAGAUCAAUCGGCAGAUCAAUGUCGCAAUACUUUGUGCCGUUCGGCAGAUGGGGGUUCGAAUCCUCCCCAAGACA